ACCGGCAGCUCAAGUGGUGGCCAUUUUUAUUGAGCAUAAAGCGUUCGUAGCCGGUUUGAUAAGUCUCUGGUGAAAUCCCGCAGCUUAACUGUGGGACUUGCUGGAGAUACUAUUAGACUUGAGGUCGGGAGAGGUUAGGGGUACUCCUAGGGUCGUGGUAAAAUAAUCCAAUUGUGGGAGGAGAAUAUGUGGCGAAGGUGGGUAGCUGGAUCGUUGCUGCCGGUGAGCACAGAGCGAAUGAGGCGCGCACCG
rnacentral:rRNA from 1 species